GCGGUUCAAUUAUUGGAGACAAUGAACAAAGGGCACCUCACCUACAUACAGACUUUGUAGGUGUUUAAGGCUUUUGUUUUAGUUAUUUUGUGUCUUUCUGGUCAAUUUGUUUCUCUUUGUAGCCAAGUUGAUUUCUUGUAAUUGAAAAACGUUUUGGUCUUUUUAGUUGUUUUUAUUGUCUAAGGUUGUUCUGCCACAUUCUGUAGUUGUUUUGUGUCUCUGUGUGGUUGUUUUGUGUCUCUAUGUGGUUGUUUUGUGUCUCUAUGUGGUGUUGUGUCUAUGUGGUUGUUUGUGUCUCUAUGUGGUUGUUUUGUGUCUCUGUGUGGUUGUUUUGUGUCUCUAUGUGGUUGUUUUGUGUCUCUAUGUGGUUGUUUUGUGUCUCUAUGUGGUUGUUUUGUGUCUCUAUGUGGUUGUUUUGUGUCUAUGUGGUUGUUUUGUGUCUCUAUGUGGUUGUUUUGUGUCUCUAUGUGGUUGUUUUGUGUCUCUAUGUGGUUGUUUUGUGUCUCUAUGUGGUUGUUUUGUAUCUCUUUGUGGUUGUUUUGUGUCUCUAUGUGGUUGUUUUGUGUCUCUAUGUGGUUGUUUUGUGUCUCUUUGUGGUUGUUUUGUGUCUACAUGUGGUUGUUUUGUGUCUACAUGUGGUUGUUUUGUGUCUCUUUGUGGUUGUUUUGUGUCUACAUGUGGUUGUUUUGUGUCUACAUGUGGUUGUUUUGUGUCUCUUUGUGGUUGUUUUGUGUCUACAUGUGGUUGUUUUGUGUCUCUAUGUGGUUGUUUUGUGUCUCUUUGUGGUUGUUUUGUGUCUCUAUGUGGUUGUUUUGUGUCUCUUUGUGGUUGUUUUGUGUCUCUAUGUGGUUGUUUUGUGUCUCUAUGUGGUUGUUUUGUGUCUCUAUGUGGUUGUUUUUAUGUGACAAUAUACAUACAAUCCUUUUAGACUUAAAGUCCUUCUUCAUAGGAAAUAACUUGAAUAAAUUUAG
rnacentral:lncRNA from 1 species